GACGAACGCUGGCGGCGUGCUUAACACAUGCAAGUCGAACGGAAAGGCCCUGCUUUUGUGGGGUGCUCGAGUGGCGAACGGGUGAGUAACACGUGAGUAACCUGCCCUUGACGUUGGGAUAACUUCAGGAAACUGGGGCUAUUACCGGAUAGGAGCUCCUGCUGCUUGGUGGGGGUUGGAAAGUUUCGGCGGUUGGGGAUGGACUCGCGGCUUAUCAGCUUGUUGGUGGGGUAGUGGCUUACCAAGGCUUUGACGGGUAGCCGGCCUGAGAGGGUGACCGGCCACAUUGGAACUGGGAUACGGCCCAGACUCCUCCGGGAGGCAGCGGUGGGGAAUAUUGCACAAUGGGCGGAGGCCUGAUGCAGCAACGCCGCGUGCGGGAUGACGGCCUUCGGGUUGUAAACCGCUUUCGCCUGUGACGAGGCGUGAGUGACGGUAAUGGGUGAAGAAGCACCGGCUAACUACGUG
rnacentral:rRNA from 1 species